rnacentral:ribozyme from 14 species
CUUUUAAUUUUUUUUUUUUUUUUUUUUGAAUUUGCCUUCUCUUGUUUCUAGGG